rnacentral:lncRNA from 10 species
CCCUCGUUUGUUCGGUGUGUUCUGGCAGUGGCCAGGAGGGCAAGUGGCACCCUUCUGUGGAAGUAAAUUUGCCUUGCUGAGAAAUUCUUUGUUUGAGUGCUCAUUUUCCUUGCGACUCCAAGCUCUUAUUUCCAACAGGGAAAUCUUUGACCUGUUUAUGUAACAAAGGAUGAGAUAGAAAGACAGAAAUGCUCAAGGAUGGAAAGAAAAGUGAGUGAGCAAGAGAGAUUAAGAGACAGAGAGUCAGAGUGUAACUUGGAAAAGUGGUGAAGAAAAUCUCAGGAAAAAAGGAGCACUCCACGACUGCUGAGGGUUCAAGAAGAGGACAGAGAAUUGAUGCUGUAUGUGCCUGAACAAGACAAUUGACAACCUUGUUGAGAGCAGUUUCAGUGGAAUAGUCAGGGAGAGAAAACCUGGAUUGGAGCAUGCUAAGGAAUGGAAGUAGAGAUGAAAGCACUCAGGGGUGCCCAGCAGGACAGCCUCCAGCUCUUCCAAUCAGAGCUGUAACACCAUUUCCUGAAACACCGUUUUCAACUAAGCUUUGGAGUGACAAAAAUACCUGUUAUCACGGACUAAUGCCUCCAGGAAAGAAAUCCUCGUGAUAUGCAUCUGUCCCCAAUAUGGCCACAGUAAAUCUGAGAGGAAGAAGGCACAGACGGUGUCUGGCUCUGUCGCCCAGGCUGGAGUGCAGUGGCGCGAUCUCGGCUCACUGCAAGCUCCGCCUCCCGGGUUCACGCCAUUCUCCUGCCUCAGCCUCCCGAGUAGCUGGGACUACAGGCGCCCGCCACUACGCCCGGCUAAUUUUUUGUAUUUUUAGUAGAGACGGGGUUUCACUGUGUUAGCCAGGAUGGUCUCCAUCUCCUGACCUCGUGAUCCACCUGCCUCGGCCUCCCAAAGUGCUGGGAUUACGGGCCUGAGCCACCGCGCCCGGCCACUCCAGCCAUUCUUAAUCCAAGGCUUCCCUGCCCGGCUUCACACCAGUCCCUUUGGGAUCUCUCAAUUCAUCACAUGGUUUUGUCGUCUUCCAUUGAAAUUCCAACCUGUUUGGCCAAUGGAGAAGGCAAGUGUUAAGCCAUUUAUAGUAUUAUCCCCACUCCUAAAAUCUAUUCUUCAUAUAUAAGCCUUCCUUAUCCAAGACAUAAACCAGCACCCCCUCCAAAGAAAGGGAAAAAAAGGGACUGCUGCUGAUCUUUCUGUUGAGGAAUAAAUCAAUGUUAUUCUGAAACUAUCUCUUGUUAAUAUGAUUCUAAGUAUGUAUUACUUGCACCACUGAAACCACAUAAGCUAAACCUUCAAAAGGCAACUGUCCUGCAGCCAUACAAUUUGAGAUUUUUAGCUGAGCACAGAGACUCCUGGGGCCAUGACAAUUAAGUGCAUCCAAG